rnacentral:rRNA from 1 species
GGGCCCGCACAAGCGGUGGAGUAUGUGGUUUAAUUCGAUGCAACGCGAAGAACCUUACCAGGGUUUGACAUCCUGCGAAUCUCUUGGAAACGAGAGAGUGCCUUCGGGAACGCAGUGACAGGUGGUGCAUGGCUGUCGUCAGCUCGUGUCGUGAGAUGUUGGGUUAAGUCCCGCAACGAGCGCAACCCACGUCGUUAGUUGCCAGCAUUUAGUUGGGCACUCUAGCGAGACCGCCGGUGAUAAACCGGAGGAAGGUGUGGAUGACGUCAAGUCAUCAUGCCCCUUACAUCCUGGGCUACACACGUACUACAAUGCUACGGACAAAGGGCAGCAAACUCGCGAGAGCUAGCAAAUCCCAUAAACCGUGGCUCAGUUCAGAUCGUAGGCUGCAACUCGCCUACGUGAAGGAGGAAUCGCUAGUAA